rnacentral:tRNA from 1 species
AGUUUCAUAGUUUAAAAAAAACAUUAAUUUUGUAAAUUAAAAUUAUACUUAAGCAUAUUUAAACUU